AGCCCAUGGUGUGAUUCUUUGCAGGGUCAGGAGUUUGACUUUGGUAAUCCUUAUGUAAUGCUUUCAACUCAGGAUAUUCUAUGAAUUUUGGAAAGGUAGAAGUACCGUGGACGGAACAAAACAUAAAUAAGUGGAAAGUCGGGAAAACCUGUGCCCCAGUGAAGACUUGAAGCCCAGGGUGAUGGAGUGUUGGAUCAUUCUGAGCCCUGGUCUCAAGUGAUGUUUCUGAGGCAUUGUUUCAUGUUUGAUUUGGUAAGGAGGAAUGGUGUGGGAUUUGGAGAGUCAGUGGAGAAAGUAGGCUCGGCUGGUGUUUGGGAGAAUUAAGAGUUACACAGGUGUCAGGACUUGUUGCAACUUGCCUAAUCUGUUUUUGUUGCGGAAAGGAAUGAGAAACGCCUGAGAUCAGUAUCAGAAAAGGGAUGACGUCCACAAUCCAGGAACACGAACAUGGACAUACAAUUAGGAAGACCAUUCUCACAUCUUCUUUCAGAGCUGAAAAGGAGCUGCAGCAUUCAAGUCUAGCAGAAAAUUCUACUCAAGCAUGUAUAGUUCUGCAAAUCUGUUCUAACUGCUGUCCAUCAAAAAAGAAGGUGUGGAUUUUCUGAUGCAGUGUGUAACUCCUGCAUCUUGGUGUGAAAGAUAUUUAUUGUCACAUUAUUUUAAAUUUGAUAUGUGCAUUAUUUGGGCAACCUUUGCUUUCAUGUGAAUCGAAGUAAAUAGUCUCAAAAAAAGCUAAAGUAUUAUGUGACAGGCCCAUCAGAGCUCUGUGUAAGCUUGCUGAGCUCAAAACCCACAUCCCCCACUUCUUAACUGAAUGAAAUUGGAAUAGCGAAACCCACUUUUUAACUGAAGCACAGUGAGCAUCCUUUCACCCUCAUAAUGCAAUGGGCUAGGCUAAAGUUCCCCUCAUCUUCAUUACUCUAUGCUAGUUUGGGAUCUGCAGAUUUAAGCAUAAUUUACUUUUUCAGUACUUUGUCCUGUUUUGUUAUUUUUUUCAUGAUCAUUCAGAUUAAGCCUGAACUAUGUUGAAGACUCCAGUUAAUCUUUAUUCUGUGCUUCUGGUGUAAGUUAUAACAUUCAGAUAUCUAAUAGACAAGUACCCAAGACUGCCAUUUUUUAGAUAAAUUGGAAAUUUGCUACCAGGGGUCAUUAAGGUUAAGUAUUUAGACCUAGCUGUUACUAUAAUGAACAGAAAAUUGGAUAUACACAGCAAUUUAUAAUGAAAACUUACAAAUAAAGAUCAUGGCACAAACA
rnacentral:lncRNA from 1 species